rnacentral:lncRNA from 1 species
AGAAGAGAAGGAGAGAGGGGAUGAAUGAGAGAGAAUAUGUUGGUACUCAACUUGCUUUCUCUUUUUUAUUUAGUCUAGGACCCCAGCUUGUGGGACAGUGCUUCCCACAUUCAGGGUGGGUCUUUCCUCCUCCGUUUAACCUCACUGAAAACUUCACAGACACACCAUGCUUCCAUGGAGAUUCCAAAUCCAAUUAAGUUGACACUUAAGAUUAAGCCUCCUGGCUGCCUUCCACUCUUGUCUCCUGUGUCACAGCUGAGUGCAUCUAUGAUUUGAAUGAUGAUCACAUGAGCUACCGAGAGGACAGGCACGUGCAACAGGCACGUGCCACCAUUUUUCUAAGGAUGUUUGAAGACAGGCUGUGGAAUGUUGUCUCCCUAUUGUGGCAGCCAUUACCACCUUCAUCAGGGCAGCUGUGACUACUCUCAAGAGACCCUCAAGAUUUGACCUGCUGACCUUUUUCUCAUUGAAGGAGGGGCCGGGG